rnacentral:rRNA from 1 species
AAGCGGAGGAAAAGAAACCAACAGGGAUUGCCCUAGUAACGGCGAGCGAAGCGGCAACAGCUCAAAUUUGAAAUCUGGCUAUUUUGUAGUCCGAGUUGUAAUUUGUAGAGGAUGCUUUUGGUGAGGUGCCUUCCGAGUUCCCUGGAACGGGACGCCAGAGAGGGUGAGAGCCCCGUACGGUUGGAUACCAAACCUUUGUAUAGCUCCUUCGACGAGUCGAGUAGUUUGGGAAUGCUGCUCUAAAUGGGAGGUAUAUCUCUUCUAAAGCUAAAUAUAGGCUAGAGACCGAUAGCGCACAAGUAGAGUGAUCGAAAGAUGAAAAGCACUUUGAAAAGAGAGUUAAACAGCACGUGAAAUUGUUGAAAGGGAAGCGCCUAUGACCAGACUUGUUUCUUUCAGUUUUGUUAGUUUUCGGACUGAUUUACUCUGUUAGUACAGGCCAGCAUCAGUUUGUUGUCAGGGAGAAAGGCUUAGGGAAUGUGGCUCUUUCGGGAGUGUUAUAGCCCUUUGCAUAAUACCUUUCGGCAGACUGAGGACCGCGCUUCGGCAAGGAUGCUGGCGUAAUGGUCAUCAGCGACCCGUCUUGAAACACGGACCAAGGAGUCAACCUUAUGUGCGAGUGUUUGGGUGUAAAACCCCAGCGCGUAAUGAACGUGAACGUAGGUGAGAGCUUCGGCGCAUCAUCGACCGAUUCUGAUGUUCUCGGAUGGAUUUGAGUAAGAGCACACAGGGUUGGACCCGAAAGAAGGUGAACUAUGCUUGUAUAGGGUGAAGCCAGAGGAAACUCUGGUGGAGGCUCGCAGCGGUUCUGACGUGCAAAUCGAUCGUCAAAUAUGAGCAUGGGGGCGAAAGACUAAUCGACCUUCUAGUAGCU